GACGCUUAUGCGUUGUUGGGUAGGGGAGCGUUCUGUAAGCCUGUGAAGGUGUGCUGUGAGGCAUGCUGGAGGUAUCAGAAGUGCGAAUGCUGACAUAAGUAACGAUAAAGCGGGUGAAAAGCCCGCUCGCCGGAAGACCAAGGGUUCCUGUCCAACGUUAAUCGGGGCAGGGUGAGUCGACCCCUAAGGCGAGGCCGAAAGGCGUAGUCGAUGGGAAACAGGUUAAUAUUCCUGUACUUGGUGUUACUGCGAAGGGGGGACGGAGAAGGCUAUGUUGGCCGGGCGACGGUUGUCCCGGUUUAAGCGUGUAGGCUGGUUUUCCAGGCAAAUCCGGAAAAUCAAGGCUGAGGCGUGAUGACGAGGCACUACGGUGCUGAAGCAACAAAUGCCCUGCUUCCAGGAAAAGCCUCUAAGCAUCAGGUAACAUCAAAUCGUACCCCAAACCGACACAGGUGGUCAGGUAGAGAAUACCAAGGCGCUUGAGAGAACUCGGGUGAAGGAACUAGGCAAAAUGGUGCCGUAACUUCGGGAGAAGG
rnacentral:rRNA from 1 species